AGUGGCGGACGGGUGAGUAACGCGUGAGAAUCUGCCUUGGGGUCGGGGACAACCACUGGAAACGGUGGCUAAUACCGGAUACGCCUUCGGGUAAAAGAUUUAUUGCCCUAAGAGGAGCUCGCGUCUGAUUAGCUAGUUGGUGAGGUAAGAGCUCACCAAGGCAGCGAUCAGUAGCUGGUCUGAGAGGACGAUCAGCCACACUGGGACUGAGACACGGCCCAGACUCCUACGGGAGGCAGCAGUGGGGAAUUUUCCGCAAUGGGCGAAAGCCUGACGGAGCAAGACCGCGUGAGGGAGGAAGGCUCUUGGGUUGUAAACCUCUUUUCUCAGGGAAGAAGCUCUGACGGUACCUGAGGAAUCAGCCUCGGCUAACUCCGUGCCAGCAGCCGCGGUAAUACGGAGGAGGCAAGCAUUAUCCGGAAUUAUUGGGCGUAAAGCGUCCGCAGGUGGCGAUUCAAGUCUGCUGUCAAAGCACGGGGCUUAACUCCGUAAAGGCAGUGGAAACUGAAUAGCUAGAGUGCCGUAGGGGUAGAGGGAAUUCCCGGUGUAGCGGUGAAAUGCGUAGAGAUCGGGAAGAACAUCGGUGGCGAAAGCGCUCUACUGGACGGCAACUGACACUCAGGGACGAAAGCUAGGGGAGCGAAUGGGAUUAGAUACCCC
rnacentral:rRNA from 1 species